UGUUUCUUUCAUGGUAAACCAAAGGUCACAGAGGGCAGAGAUGCUUGUCAGUUGGGGCUUAUGGAUUAUUCCAGACAAAGCAUCCUCUGUCAAAUUUAUGUGGACACUUUUCUGAGUAGUUCCUUAAUUUGAAUGUUUAAUGUGAAUUUUGUUCCAGUACUCUGCUUAGCUGUAUAAAUUAAGCUAAAUAACUUGUAAGCAUCCCCAUGGUGCUGUCUAGCUUUGGAGAUCACCGCUUGGACCAUCAGCAAGGGAGGCAGUUAUUAAAGGUCCCCUGUAGGGGCAGGAGUCAUAAGCAACUUAGGUCCCCUGUAGGGGCAGGAGUCAUAAGCAACUGCCAGUGCCAAACCAGUAAUUAGAUUCUUUCAAGAUAUAUUACAUAAUACCACUUUAAGCUUCUUGAUAGGUCAGCGUUUCUUUCACGAUUUAGAACUAAAAUUUCUAGCUUUAUUUGGAUCUUCCUUGCUAAUGCUUUCAAGAUCUCUCUCCAUCCUCCAACCUCACUGUGGCUACCUUGGACCUCUUCUUCACCUAGUGCCCGUGUCAGUAGCACAUUACUGAUUCUCUCUUCUUUCUCCCAACCUACUUGGGCUCCACUAUCGGGUUUUCACCAACAACCUUUUCUGUUUCCUGUUGAAAUAAAUUCAGUCACUUCUAACUGUACGUUCUUUUUUUUUUUUUUAUUUUGGAUAUCUAUCUAUAGGUGCGUAUUUUCUAAUGUUUUAUUUAUUUAUUUUUUUCAUUAUUUCACAGCUAAGGGGUCCUUUUAGACUAUCUUUCCUAACUUCACCCUAACCCGUGGAAAUUUAAUGCCACAUAUAUACUGUACAGUCGUACAUUUUUUUUAUAUCUGUGAUUUAUGCAUAAAAAGAGUAACAUGUUUUUUGUCCCACCAAGAAUCAAUGUUUGCCCCUAGGGGCGAUAACAUUGUCUUUGAUUAUGCACGCCUGUUUCCCAUUUCUCAUUACCCGCCUUAAUUCUGGUCAGCCUUAUCUUGUCUCUGACCCACAGAAAUGCCAGCUAUGCACAUUCUUACUUCUUUGAUUUUGUUCAUGCUCUGUCUUUUGCUUUUAUUGAAGUAACAUUUUUUCCUAGUUAUCAAAGUACUACAAGAUCACUGUGGAACAUUGGGACAAUGCCAAAAAUAUGAGUAGAAAUUAAAGAUCACCUGUAUGCCCAACACAUAGAAAAAUAAAAAUAACAACUUUUGGCAAAUAUA